CACGUAGGGUGCAAGCGUUGUCCGGAAUCAUUGGGCGUAAAGAGCUCGUAGGCGGCUUAGUAAGUCGGGUGUGAAACCUCCAGGCUCAACCUGGAGACGCCACCCGAUACUGCUAUAGCUAGAGUCCAGUAGGGGAGUGCGGAAUUCCCGGUGUAGCGGUGAAAAUGCGCAGAUAUCAGGAGGAACACCUAUUGCGAAGGCAGCUCGCUGGGACGUAAACUGACGCUGAGACGCGAAAGCGUGGGGAGCAAACAGG
rnacentral:rRNA from 1 species